rnacentral:rRNA from 1 species
AGAGUUUGAUCAUGGCUCAGGAUGAACGCUAGCGACAGGCCUAACACAUGCAAGUCGAGGGGCAUCAGGUAUCAGCUUGCUGAUACGCUGGCGACCGGCGCACGGGUGAGUAACGCGUAUGCAAUCUGCCUGUAACAGGGGAUAACCCGGAGAAAUCCGGCCUAAUACCCCCAUAAGGAUGUCUGUCCGCAUGGGCGGUCAUUCUAAAGGUUUUCCGGUUACAGAUGGGCAUGCGUUCCA